AGGAGCCUUGGUGGGGGACAGGGGACAGAGUGUCCUGCCCCAGUCCUCCUCCUCACUCCACACCCCCAGCCUUGGCCAACUCAAACAGGCCCCCUCCCUGUCCAUUCCCCGCUCCUGUUUAUACCGGGAGCCCCUUAGUCAUUCUCUGGCUGGCUUUUCUACUCUCCCCAAUAUCCCUCCUCUCUUGGCUCUCUCUGCCCUUAUAAGUCCUCUCCCAGUGGCCCCAACACCUCCUGCCUUUCCUCUCACCAUGUCUGCCUUUGCCUGGCUCUGCUUUCCUCUGCUUCCGGGUCAGGCCUGGCUUAGGGUUCCCUCCUAGUUGGAGCUGCUUCUGUAUAGCCCUCCAGGUCUGGAAGGUCAGCCUAGGAGGGGCCUAAAAGGUCUGCCAGGAGGGGGGUUAAUCUAGAGGUUAUCAGCCCAACCCUCUCUUUCAGAAGAGGAAAUGGGUGUAGACAGAUGAAGUGACUUAUCCAAGGUCACAGGGCUAGGCAGUCAGUGGUGAGUCUAGAACUUAAGUGUUUUGACUCUAAACCCAAUGCCCUUUCUUCUCAGCCAGCUGACCUCUGAAUGCUCUGUCUCCUCUCAGCUUUCUCUCUUCUGUGUAUCUCUCAGCUUGUCUGGCCCAGCCUGUAUGUCUCCAAGUGUCUCUGUUUUGUCUCUCAGAUCUGACCUCUCUGGUACCCUCUGUCCCUUCAACGCUCAGUAGGAAUGAUUUGCUGUGAUGACUGACUAUUAUUAAUCACAGUCUGCUUGACGGUGGGGCAGAAGGAGUGAAGGGCAAGGGCAGGACACUCACCAGGCUCCUGCUGUCACCAGCCUGCCCGCCCUGAAGGCUGAAGCCUUAAAACAAGAAGAGGAAAUUCUCAGAGAUGGUCAGGGUAGAGCUAUCCAGCAUUUGAAUGUACCAUAUUCCUCAUUUUACUGUGAAGAAACUGAGGCCCAACGAGUGAAGCGACUGAGCCAAGAUCAACAGAAAGAAAGGGGCUGAGGGGCGCCUGGGUGGCUCAGCCGAGUCUCAAAUGCCUGGAAAUUCUACGAACACUGAAGCUGGAUGUCCUGAUUUCAAGGAAUAGACUCAAGCCUUGUCAGGUCUGUAAGAAGCCUGGUUGGGUGGUUUGGGCUGAGUGAGCUCUUCAUGAAAUAAAACUUCCUCACUGGUGGUUGUAGAUGUGCUGAGACAGAUACUGAUCCCCUCAACCCUUGUAGUCUAGAGAGACCUGGAACUGCCAGAAACCCCAGGCUGGUGGCUCUCGCUUACUGUGGGGGACUGUGCAAAUACCAUGUUCUUAAUGUCACUUGAUACAAGCAAGACUGGGAAAAGCUUGCUGGACAAAGGGGCCAGAGGGGUUAGGUGGUCUGUGGCUCCUGGCUUUGGCCUGGGGGUCCCAAUCCCUCUGCCCUGUGGUGGGGUGAUGAGUGGGAGUCCUUCUUAGAGAGGGAAAGAAGGGGAGCUGCGGCGGGGUGGGGGGUGGAUCUCUGGAAAUAGAGUAGGAGCCCAGUUAUCCCAGGAGUCUGGGUCCAGAGCCUGCUAACACUGAGACAUUGCUCUGAGUGUAUGUAUCUAAGAGAGAGUAAUUGGAAAGUACAGGAGCAAGCCAUCUGAACCCUUGGGCUCUGUCACUGCCCUGACUCAGGUCUCAGCCUAGAGGAACUGAUGGCUCCAUCAUCUGUGAGUCACCACCCACCACCCCCACUCCCUGUCUGGUGGGAAGAACCCCCUCCCCCAUGCCCUAGACCUAAAGUAAACCCAGACUACCCUCCCCUUUCCACACCCACUUUGCUCAGAGCACAGAAGGGGUGGAUGAUGUUUGCUAGGGUGACAAGACCAGUCCUGGGGGAUAGGAUGCUUGAGUUCUCUUGGUGCUCCAGGGCUCUGAACCUAGGGGUUGAGACUGUGACCAGAUAGCUCUGGAAGGAACCAAACUGGGAGAUUUCCCAAGCUGGGCUAGGUAAGGGAGAGACAGAGGGACAAGAAUUAGGGGAAGGACACUGAUGGGAGAGGGGCAGGGCUAAAGAGACACUGGGGUGAAAAAAAUAUAAGACCCAGGGGUGCAAAACAAGCAGAUCAAUGGGAAGGAAUUUCCUCCAUCCCAGCUAGAGUCUUUGCUUCCAAAACCUCUUCAGUUUUUCUGUUCUUUUUUUCUGGAACAGAAUUCUACAGCAAAAUGUAACAACCCCAGAUAGGAAGUUAAAAGGGAAAUAUGAUUCUCUGGGGUGUUCUAAAUGUUGACCUCAUUUUAUUUGCUCACCCACCCCACCCCCAUUACUUUCCAUCCUUUUUCUCCCCCUUGCUGCCUUGGAACUACCUCUGGAGAGCAAAGGAGUGCCUGAAGCUUCUGUGCUCAAAAACCUGGGGGCUGGAGGAGAGAUCCAUCCGGGGUGGGAGCUGUGGGCGGGAGCAUCAGUUUCCUGGGAUGGCCUUCCCAGAUGUAAGCACAUCUGGAGCCCAUCAGGGAGGGACCUGGAACACCAGGAUUCCCAAUACACAUCCGACUGGGGCUGUGCGGGGCUGAAGAUGAGCCAGGCAUUCCCUCCCACCCCCCUAAGUUUGCCUGCCAUUUCUAGCCCUCUCCUGGGAAGGAUUACCAAUCCCAGACAGGAAGUUAGGGCAUUGGAAGGGGCUGGGAGCAAGGCAAGAGAUCGCAGGGAUUGCACCCAAACCCAGACAGACUGUUUCAUUAGCUUCAGCUCCUUCUGGCUGUAUAGAGAUGACAUCUCUGAUCAGGAAGGAAUCAGGGUUUGUGUGUGUGUCUGUAUAGCAUAGGUAUGCCAUUUGUUCUUGACAAAAUAAUAAAUUUGCCCUGGCAUGAGGUUGGGGAUGGGGGCCAGCGUGUCCCCCCUGCUUGCUUCUCAUGAAAGGACAGAAGUCCUGCCCAUGAGUCUCUGGACCUUUUGCACUCCUCACCUCUCCACCCUCAAACAAACACACACACACUCCUUCCUUGGCUGCAAAUUCCUCCCUGUCCAUCGUCACCUUGUAAUGAGCACAUUUGUUUUCCAGGGAUCACGUACAGGGCUAAGAAUAGGUCUAUCCCCUUGCCCUUCCCCUCGGGGAGAGCUAACCUGUUGGGGUUGAAUUUGGGGGUAAAAGGGGUGUACAGUGACCUUGGCAAGGGGUCCAGAUGUUGCCAGCAGCCAGCCCCUAAGGGUAAAAUGGAAAGUCUCUGGGGCCAAGACUCAGGAGUUCAGUGAUACGGAGCACUCCUGGGGAGUAGAGCCCUCUCCCUUUCUCCUACAGCUUGAUGGGGAACCAAACCUGGAGAGAUUCUUUUUUUUUUUUUUUUUUUAAAGAUUUUACUUAUUUAUUUGACAGAGAGAGACACAGCGAGAGAGGGAACACAAGCAGGGGGAGUGGGAGAGGGAGAAGCAGGCUUCCCGCCGAGCAGGGAGCCCGAUGUGGGACUCGAUCCCAGGAUCCUGGGAUCAUGACCUGAGCCGAAGGCAGACGCUUAACGACUGAGCCACCCAGGCACCCCCUGGAAAGAUUCUUAAACAGCCUCUGGACUCUAAGGUUGUGGCUUAUUGAGUUGAGAUAAUAAUAUAAUAGAAGAUAGUGUUGUAUACAAUUUAUGAGUGCAAAAAUAUAUGGGGGUCUUCCUGCCUUACCUGCAGCAAAGAUUGAAUGGGCUUUGCCCUUUGAGCCUCCAUCCCUUCUCACCUCUGGCCUCAACCCUUGACUGGACUUCAAAGCCCCAGGGGAGAAGCCAAGAGGAGGAGUUCCCCAACCUAUUGGCUCAGAUCCCUUUCAAUAGCUAUCCAGCAGCUCAGAGGCUGGGCACCAGAGACCUCCCUGUCCCCAUCUCUGAUCUAGGCUUGGCUAGGGGGUCCCAGCAGACAGAACUGUGGGGUGGGGGGUAAGGCUAAGGCCCUCAGGUCUCUAAGAUAGAGGGAUAUGUGAUGGAGAUUGACCUGGGAAGAAGGGAAAUGGGGUUUGGUAGGUGGCUGAGUGGCUGGGGGAGGGAAAGGUGGGAUGGAGCUCUAAGCUUUCACCUCAGGGAGAUCAACCCUUUCCUCAGACCACACCCUCACACCCAGCCUGCCACGGCACAGCUGGCCACACCCCCACAGCUGGUGGGGAAAAGAUCACAACCCUACCCCCCCUCCACAAGCCAAUUGCUUACAGAUGUGCCACGAAAGGGGGGGGGUGGUGGAAGGAGCUUGGGUGGAUGGGGGUGCAGGGAAGGAAAACUGAAGAAAGGAGGGGAGAUUCAUGGAAGGGAGAGAGGGAGACAUUGUGGUCACAUGAGGAAGCCUGUGAAGAUGAGGAAGAGUCAGAAGGAAACAGUUGGAGAGGGAGAGGGGAAAGGAGAAAAGCGGGUCUCAUUUCCCCUGCAAUUUGCCCUACUCACUGCAGGCAAAUUAAUCUUAAACCAAAGCUCUGAUGAUGCUACUUCGCCCCUCCCUCAAAACCUUCCAUGGCUCCAGCCUUUUAACCAGUAGAGAUCUGUCUACUUGAAAAGUGCUGAGAACCAUGCAAGACACAUAGAAGUAUGGUUGACCCACAUCAGUGUACAUUUUGAGUGCUAACUAUGUACAAAGUUCAGUGGGCCAUGCUGGGGGGAAUAAGAAGGGAGAAGAAGGAGGAGGGGGCAUCGGGCUAUGAUGGGGAUAGAAAGGAGCAAAGGGGUGGACAGAGAGGCCACAUAAAGACAGAAAAAGCAGAGUGAUUCAGGAGGCAGAGCCAGGAGGAUGAAAGGGAAGGGGUGGAGGCAGCAGGAGGGAGGGUCCUGGAAAGAUGGGUGAGAGGAGGGAAGGGGAAAGGACCAGGAAGGAAAGAAGUAGGGGGAAGAGGGAGGAUGCGGAGGGAGGCAUAUGGAGGCAUGGUAAGUAGGAGAUGAUAGAACUGGGGGGCCAUCCUUUCCUCCUGCUGGGUCGGGAACUCUGCUGGCCCCCAAGAGGCACUUUGGAGUGGGCAGGAAGCCUGCAGGCUGCCUGGUCUGCUCCUUACCUGCUUCCCAUUUAGGACCGAGCUUUCUCUGUCCCUCGCCAUUUUGGGGUCCCUGAAUUGACUAUUCUUUCACUGGCUCCCUGUCCUCCUCACCCCCACCUCUUGGGUACCGAUUUCUGAAGUCAACUUCCUCUGCACUCAUCACACAGCAGGCCAGUCUCCUGUGUGCCUCUUCUCUGGGUUUCUUUCCCUGAGGUGGGUGGGUAGGGGUGAAGCAGACCCAGAGGUGCUUCCAGCUCUGGUCUGCUCUCCACUCAGUGUCUCCCCUCCUCUGCCAAACCCGUUCUGGCCUGAGACAUUUGUGUCAGAAGUCCCUUUGGCCUCUUUCCUGCUCCUGAAUCCCUGGAGUGGUAUUUGGGGGUAGGAGGAGGCGUAAGGUCCGAGAUGGAAAGUCUGACGCUGAGUCCAGGCCCCCAGCCCCACUCAGACGGGCUGAGCUCAUCUCCCCAAGCAACCACAGCUGGACAUUUUCCAUGUGAUCACCUCAGGGAUGGGGGCUGCGUUCCAGAAACCCAGACAGAGCUGACUGAGUUUCACAACCGGCAGGCUUGGGGAUGGAGCACCCUCAGGUGCCUCCACCCCACUUCUGCUGUGCUCUGUAGGGAAAGACUGGGGGAGAACCAAGACCAGAGGAGAAAUAGGCCUGGAGAAGAGUCAAAGCUGGGAUAGAUUUUGGGCCCAAGUUGGCCCAGGUUUUUGUAUCCCUGCAUGAAUGUUCACCAUUUGUGCUGGUUGGGCUGGGAAAAGGUCCUGUGUGCUGUGAAUGUUUAUGGGAGGUGAAAACCUGUGUGUGUGUGUGUGUGUGUGUGUGUGUGUGUGUGGUCUGAGCGCCUGAACGUGCUUGUGUUGGUGUGCACAGAUGCAAGGGGUGGGUGGGCAUCUGUGUCCUGAGUGGUCAACAGGCAGUUGGGGCAUGAUCUUUUGCCAGUGCGGGGUUGGGGGGGUGAGCUAGGGGCCUGAGGAAUGAGGGCUGCCUGCUUUCCCCACCAUCCCGUCCCUUCUCUAGCCAACGGCCUUCUCUUUCUUUUUUUUGUUUUUUUUUAAAGAUUUAUUCAUUUACUUGAGAGAGCGAGAAUGAGAGAAUGAGAGAGAGAGUACAUGAGAGCGGGGAGGGUUAGAGGGAGAAGCAGGCUCCUCGCCAAGCAGGGACCCCGAUACGGGACUCGAUCCAGGGACUCCAGGAUCAUGACCCGAGCCGAAGGCAGUCGCUCAACCAACUGAGCCACCCAGGCGCCCGGGCCUUCUCUUUCAAUCACAGAUAACUGGAGGGCCAGAGAAAGCAAGCCAUAAAACAGAAAGAGGAACGGGUCACUUUCUUCCCCAGUGGAAGAAAUUGGGGCGAGGAGCUUCAGGGACUGGCUGAGGUGGGGGUGAUCGCUCAGCAGUGGAUGCGGGGGUUGCCGUGAGAGUAGCCCCUGGCGCCCCUGCCAUGAAGGCUGCUGAGCUGGAAGCAGUAGGUGGCAUCCGGCGUGGGUCUCCGGACCCCUUUCUUCCCUCUCCCCUAGGCCCUGGGAUGUUGGGACCGUCUGGAGGAGGCUGGUGGGGAGGUAGGAAAGAGAGUGCGCAGGAAGCACUUGGCUGUUUGUUCCCUCUCUUUCCGGACUCCUUUGUGGCAGCAGACUGGCUUCCUUCCUCACCGGGGCACCUUGGCUCCCAGCUAAUUUCCUCUCUUAUGCCUUAGCUCUCAGCCUGGCCCAGUGGAGUUUUUCCAAGCGGAGCCUUCUGGGAAUGGGGACCCCUAGAUAAGUGGAAUAGAGGCUAAGGAAUGCAAAUGGGAUGCCAGUCUGUCCCUCUCUCAACACGUUCAAGGUCAGUAGCCCCACGUGAAUGAACGGUGGGAGGGGCUCAUUGGCCAGAAGAUGGGGAGCCUCUGAACAGAGCAGGGACGCAGGUAUUUGGUUACCUGGGGCCUGCCCCUCCUGUAACCUGGGAUGUGGAGAGAGCAGGGAUGAAGAGACACCCCACCCCCACUGCAGCCUAGCUUCCUUCUCUGUGUCCCUACUUGGCUGUCCUUGCCUCAGUCUGCCCUGCCCCACCUCCCACCUCCAUCCACUGCCCUACAAGUCAAGGAAUGUAAGUUUCCUCUCUCACUCUCUCAUUGAUUAGUCAUGGGCACCCCGAUCCCCACGGGAACCGUUACUCACCCUUGGGCCCCCCCUCACUGGCAGUGGUCUCCCCAGAACUGGCUGAGUUCCUGUAGGAGGAGCUCACAGUGUUGGACAUGGAACGGAGGGGGUGGGGGUGGUGGGUGGUGGGCAGUGCAGUGUCCUAGAGACGGCCAAAGCAGGAGCCCCUCCCUCUUCCCAACACACGCGUGCAGGGAGGUCAUCCUCCCGGCUCUGGUCACUUUAAUGGCCAGGGCUUUAGGCAGAAGGGGUAGGAUGGGGGUAGGGGCCUGUGUGCUGUGACUCUGUGGAGAAGGGCCCAAAGCAACUGAGCAUCUAGUCUCUUCACCGGUGCUGGCUUCGGGGCCAGGACAGGGCCUGGGGCCCACUCUUUGGACUUGGCCGAGUGCCCAGGCCUGGCCUCUGUCACCCAGAAUCAGACAGGGGCCUUUCCCAAUAAGGAGCCUCCCAACUCUGGGUCUACUCCCUUGCUGCCCCCACUCCCUCUCCCCUCUAACAGCUCCUCUGCCCUAAAAUGGCCACGUUUUUCCCUCCUUUCCUCCUUCCCUCCCCCGUAUCCAGGUUUGGGCCCCAGGGGAGAGGAGGGGGCUAGGGAAGGGUAAGGACUGCCUAGAUGCCAGGCGAACAGGUUUGGAGAAGAGUAAUGGGAUUGCAGGAAAAGAAGGGAAUCAGGCCACAUGACCCAGGUAUAUACAGAGGGUGGGGGUAGAGACACAGCUUCCUGGAGUUAUUGUCUUUUCCUAUAAUAAUAGCCUAUGGUAUUAUUAUAUAUACUAUAUAGUAUAUACGAUUAUACAUAUCAUAAUACACACUAUUCUGAGAGCUUUACAUGUAUGAACUCAUUUACUUGGUACUGCGCCAUGUGAGGGAGCUGCUGUAGAUCUUUUUUUUUUUUUUUUAAAGAUUUAUUUAUUUAUUUGAGAGAGCGAGAAUGAGAGAGAGAGAGAGUACAUGAGAGGGGGGAGGGUUAGAGGGAGAAGCAGGCUCCUCGCCGAGCAGGGAGCCUGAUGCGGGACUCGAUCCCGGGACUCCAGGAUCAUGACCUGAGCCGAAGGCAGUUGCUCAACCAACUGAGCCACCCAGACGCCCGGUCUAUCUGUUAAGAUGAGGGAACCGAGGCACAGAGAGUUUAAGUCACUAGUUCCAGUAUCCCUGGAAGAGCUGGGAUUCAAACCCAAGCAAUCUGGCUUCACUUUAGGAGAAACCAAUCCACUGGCUUUGUCCGUGGAAUACUUGAGCCUCACUGGCAGGGGCAUAAGGAAUGCCCAAGUGGCUUCUGGGGUGGUGAUGCUCACGGAAGCUGCCAGUCAAAUGUGACCCGUUAUGGACCCUUGGGUAUUUCCAUGGAUUCAGACUAAACACUCCCAGAGAGCCACUGGUCCAUUUAAAAAAACCAAAAAGCAAAAAGCAAAAAAUAUAUUGGUUGAGUGACACACAAAUGAUAUGCGGGUUAGCACAGAAGCCAAAUAAGUGUGACUGAAGGGUUGGGGGGUGGUGGUGGUGGUGGGGAUGCAAAAAGGGGCCGGAAAUAAGAGCUAGGGACAAGAUGGAGUAAUGAAGAAGAAACCACAGGGUGUGUGUGGAGGGACCUUCUUGAGCCCUUUUCCGGCCCUUGCUUAUGUUCCAGGCAUUUAAAAAUAGUGAUUUAUUCUAUCUACUGAGGUGGAGAAAAGAAGAGGAGGCUGAGAAUUCUUCUAGCCCUGACAGCAGACAGGGGACACCCUGGGAUGGAUCCAGGUAUUUGACUUGUAAGUUCCAGCUUGAGUACAACUCUGCCCUUCUCUGGCUCUCAGUUUUGUCUUUCCCAAACCAAAGGAAUUGAAUGAGAUGGUCCCUGAGUUUCCAUCUCCAACACAUUCAGAUUCCUAUGUAAGAACUCAGUGGGGGAAAAAAAAGAACUCACUGGGGAAAACCAGCG